rnacentral:rRNA from 1 species
UACGUAGGGUGCGAGCGUUAAUCAGAAUUACUGGGCGUAAAGCGUGCGCAGGCGGCGCCGCAAGUCAGGCGUGAAAUCCCCGAGCUUAACUUGGGAAUGGCGCUUGAAACUACGGUGCUGGAGUGUGGCAGAGGGAGGUGGAAUUCCACGUGUAGCGGUGAAAUGCGUAGAGAUGUGGAGGAACACCGAUGGCGAAGGCAGCCUCCUGGGCCAACACUGACGCUCAUGCACGAAAGCGUGGGGAGCAAACAGG